rnacentral:rRNA from 1 species
UUACGAACGCUGGCGGCGUGCUUAACACAUGCAAGUCGAACGGAAAGGCCCUGCUUUUGUGGGGUGCUCGAGUGGCGAACGGGUGAGUAACACGUGAGUAACCUGCCCUUGACUUUGGGAUAACUUCAGGAAACUGGGGCUAAUACCGGAUAGGAGCUCCUGCUGCAUGGUGGGGGUUGGAAAGUUUCGGCGGUUGGGGAUGGACUCGCGGCUUAUCAGCUUGUUGGUGGGGUAGUGGCUUACCAAGGCUUUGACGGGUAGCCGGCCUGAGAGGGUGACCGGCCACAUUGGGACUGAGAUACGGCCCAGACUCCUACGGGAGGCAGCAGUGGGGAAUAUUGCACAAUGGGCGGAAGCCUGAUGCAGCAACGCCGCGUGCGGGAUGACGGCCUUCGGGUUGUAAACCGCUUUCGCCUGUGACGAAGCGUGAGUGACGGUAAUGGGUAAAGAAGCACCGGCUAACUACGUGCCAGCAGCCGCGGUGAUACGUAGGGUGCGAGCGUUGUCCGGAUUUAUUGGGCGUAAAGGGCUCGUAGGUGGUUGAUCGCGUCGGAAGUGUAAUCUUGGGGCUUAACCCUGAGCGUGCUUUCGAUACGGGUUGACUUGAGGAAGGUAGGGGAGAAUGGAAUUCCUGGUGGAGCGGUGGAAUGCGCAGAUAUCAGGAGGAACACCAGUGGCGAAGGCGGUUCUCUGGGCCUUUCCUGACGCUGAGGAGCGAAAGCGUGGGGAGCGAACAGGCUUAGAUACCCUGGUAGUCCACGCUGUAAACGGUGGGUACUAGGUGUGGGGUCCAUUCCACGGGUUCCGUGCCGUAGCUAACGCUUUAAGUACCCCGCGUGGGGAGUACGGCCGCAAGGCUAAAACUCAAAGGAAUUGACGGGGCCCCGCACAAGCGGCGGAGCAUGCGGAUUAAUUCGAUGCAACGCGUAGAACCUUACCUGGGUUUGACAUGGAUCGGGAGUGCUCAGAGAUGGGUGUGCCUCUUUUGGGGUCGGUUCACAGGUGGUGCAUGGCUGUCGUCAGCUCGUGUCGUGAGAUGUUGGGUUAAGUCCCGCAACGAGCGCAACCCUUGUUCACUGUUGCCAGCACGUUAUGGUGGGGACUCAGUGGAGACCGCCGGGGUCAACUCGGAGGAAGGUGGGGAUGACGUCAAGUCACCAUGCCCCUUAUGUCCAGGGCUUCACGCAUGCUACAAUGGCUGGUACAGAGAGUGGCGAGCCUGUGAGGGUGAGCGAAUCUCGGAAAGCCGGUCUCAGUUCGGAUUGGGGUCUGCAACUCGACCUCAUGAAGUCGGAGUCGCUAGUAAUCGCAGAUCAGCAACGCUGCGGUGAAUACGUUUCCGGGGCUUGUACACACCGCCCGUCAAGUCAUGAAAGUUGGUAACACCCGAAGCCGGUGGCCUAACCGUUGUGGGGGAGCCGUCGAAGGUGGGAC